rnacentral:rRNA from 1 species
CAAUAGCGUAUAUUAAAGUUGUUGCAGUUAAAAAGCUCGUAGUUGGAUUUCUGGUUGAAGCGACCGGUCGGGCGUUGAUUCGUCUGCACUGGAGUCGGUUUUGGCCAUCCUCUAGGAAAGUGCGUCUGGUAUUAAGUUAUCGGGCGUAUGAUCCUGGUCUUUUACUGUGAAAAAAUUAGAGUGUUUAAAACAGGCCUUCGCCUUGAAUACAUUAGCAUGGAAUAAUAAGAUAGGACUUUGGUCUAUUUUGUUGGUUUGCAGACCGAAGUAAUGAUUAAUAGGGAUAGUUGGGGGUAUUUAUAUUCCGAUGCCAGAGGUGAAAUUCUUAGAUUUUCGGAAGAUAAACUUAUGCGAAAGCAUUUACAAAGGAUGUUUUCAUUAA